rnacentral:rRNA from 1 species
AUUGAACGCUGGCGGCAUGCUUUACACAUGCAAGUCGAACGGCAGCGCGGGGCAACCUGGCGGCGAGUGGCGAACGGGUGAGUAAUACAUCGGAACGUACCCAGAAGUGGGGGAUAACGUAGCGAAAGUUACGCUAAUACCGCAUACGUUCUACGGAAGAAAGUGGGGGACCUUCGGGCCUCAUGCUUUUGGAGCGGCCGAUGUCUGAUUAGCUAGUUGGUGAGGUAAAGGCUCACCAAGGCGACGAUCAGUAGCUGGUCUGAGAGGACGACCAGCCACACUGGAACUGAGACACGGCCCAGACUCCUACGGGAGGCAGCAGUGGGGAAUUUUGGACAAUGGGCGCAAGCCUGAUCCAGCAAUGCCGCGUGAGUGAAGAAGGCCUUCGGGUUGUAAAGCUCUUUUGUCAGGGAAGAAACGGCUGAGGAUAAUACCUUCGGCUAAUGACGGUACCUGAAGAAUAAGCACCGGCUAACUACGUG